CUGCUUGCCAGGGUAACAUCAAGGCAUUUUAGAGUGUCGAUACACGUGAACUGUCUGAACUGAUGAAAGAAAGUACCUCUGAAAUCAACAGGUUUGUCCUCCCAGGGGUUGAGUACCAUGGACAGGGCCGUCUCCUGCACUGGAGACAGAGCAGAGCGCUGGGUGUCUGUUACAGCAACGGCCUGCUCAUACGUGAAAAUGUGAAUUUGUGCCUGAUUAAAAACUACCUGAGAAGAAAGAAUGUGGAAAUACCAGGGAUGAGAGAGAUGGCCAGUGGGGUGAUUCCUUCGAUUUGUUCCUUAACCAAAGCAGACAUGGACAUAUCCGGCAGCCCCGCUACAGAAAAGGAAGAAAUGCACAAAAAUACAAUG